rnacentral:rRNA from 1 species
UACGUAGGGGGCUAGCGUUAUCCGGAAUUACUGGGCGUAAAGGGUGCGUAGGUGGUUUUUUAAGUCAGAAGUGAAAGGCUACGGCUCAACCGUAGUAAGCUUUUGAAACUGAAGAACUUGAGUGCAGGAGAGGAGAGUAGAAUUCCUAAGUGUAGCGGUGAAAUGCGUAGAUAUUAAGGAGGAAUACCAGUAGCGAAGGCGGCUCUCUGGACUGUAACGUGACACUGAGGCACGAAAGCGUGGGGAGCAAACAGGAAUUAGAUGACC